AAUCAACGCUGGCGGCGUGCCUCAGACAUGCAAGUCGAACGAUUAAGACUUCCUUCGGGAAGUGCAUAAAGUGGCGCACGGGUGAGUAACACGUAAGUAAUCUACCUUCGAGUGGGGAAUAACGUUCGGAAACGAACGCUAAUACCGCAUAAUGCAGCGGCAUCGCAAGAUGACAGUUGUUAAAGGAAUUUAUUUCGCUUGAAGAGGAGCUUGCGGCAGAUUAGCUAGUUGGUAAGGUAACGGCUUACCAAGGCUACGAUCUGUAUCCGGUCUAAGAGGACGGUCGGACACACUGACACUGAAUAACGGGUCAGACUCCUACGGGAGGCAGCAGUCGGGAAUUUUGGGCAAUGGGCGAAAGCCUGACCCAGCAACGCCGCGUGAAGGAUGAAGUAUUUCGGUAUGUAAACUUCGUAAGAAUAGGAAGAAUAAAUGACGGUACUAUUUGUAAGGUCCGGCUAACUACGUGCCAGCAGCCGCGGUAAU
rnacentral:rRNA from 1 species